UACGUAGGGGGCAAGCGUUGUCCGGAUUUAUUGGGCGUAAAGAGCGUGUAGGCGGCCAUGUAGGUCCGUUGUGAAAACUCGAGGCUCAACCUCGAGACGCCGAUGGAAACCAUGUGGCUAGAGUCCGGAAGAGGAGAGUGGAAUUCCUGGUGUAGCGGUGAAAUGCGUAGAUAUCGGGAAGAACACCCGUGGCGAAGGCGGCUCUCUGGGACGGUACUGACGGCUGAGACGCGAAAGCGUGGGGAGCGAACAGG
rnacentral:rRNA from 1 species